rnacentral:rRNA from 1 species
AGUCGAACGGAAAGGCCCUUUCGGGGGUACUCGAGUGGCGAACGGGUGAGUAACACGUGGGUGAUCUGCCCUGCACUUCGGGAUAAGCUUGGGAAACUGGGUCUAAUACCGGAUAGGACUACGGCAUGCAUGUGCUGUGGUGGAAAGUUUUUAACGGUGUGGGAUGGGCCCGCGGCCUAUCAGCUUGUUGGUGGGGUGAUGGCCUACCAAGGCGACGACGGGUAGCCGGCCUGAGAGGGUGUCCGGCCACACUGGGACUGAGAUACGGCCCAGACUCCUACGGGAGGCAGCAGUGGGGAAUAUUGCACAAUGGGCGCAAGCCUGAUGCAGCGACGCCGCGUGGGGGAUGACGGCCUUCGGGUUGUAAACCUCUUUCACCAUCGACGAAGGCCCGCUUUUGGUGGGUUGACGGUAGGUGGAGAAGAAGCACCGGCCAACUACGUGCCAGCAGCCGCGGUAAUACGUAGGGUGCGAGCGUUGUCCGGAAUUACUGGGCGUAAAGAGCUCGUAGGUGGUUUGUCGCGUUGUUCGUGAAAUUCCCUGGCUUAACUGGGGGCGUGCGGGCGAUACGGGCAGACUGGAGUACUGCAGGGGAGACUGGAAUUCCUGGUGUAGCGGUGGAAUGCGCAGAUAUCAGGAGGAACACCGGUGGCGAAGGCGGGUCUCUGGGCAGUAACUGACGCUGAGGAGCGAAAGCGUG